CCUUAUCAGUUCUCCGUCCAAC
rnacentral:miRNA from 1 species